AGCUAGAGACCGGCGCACGGGUGCGUAACGCGUAUGCAAUCUACCUUUUACAGAGGGAUAGCCCAGAGAAAUUUGGAUUAAUACCUCAUAGUAUGUGAGAAUCGCAUGGUUUUCACAUUAAAGUUCCAACGGUAAAAGAUGAGCAUGCGUCCCAUUAGCUAGAUGGUAAGGUAACGGCUUACCAUGGCGACGAUGGGUAGGGGUCCUGAGAGGGAGAUCCCCCACACUGGUACUGAGACACGGACCAGACUCCUACGGGAGGCAGCAGUGAGGAAUAUUGGACAAUGGGCGCAAGCCUGAUCCAGCCAUGCCGCGUGCAGGAUGACGGUCCUAUGGAUUGUAAACUGCUUUUGUACAGGAAGAAACACUCCCUCGUGAGGGAGCUUGACGGUACUGUAAGAAUAAGGAUCGGCUAACUCCGUGCCAGCAGCCGCGGUAAUACGGAGGAUCCAAGCGUUAUCCGGAAUCAUUGGGUUUAAAGGGUCCGUAGGCGGUUUAAUAAGU
rnacentral:rRNA from 1 species